CAGGCCUGGAGCACACACUCCUGAGAGGCAGCAGAGAUCGGGGACUCCAGGUCCCUGAGAUCCCAGUCCGCACAGAAGGCUCAUGGAGCCUGGGGCACGUGGGGCCCUCCUCUCAAGGGCUAGCAGGUUCCCUCUGGACCUGUAGGGCACCACCCCCGUCUAGCCACCAUGGCGCAUGGCUUCCCAGUGGGCUUCGACCCAGUGGGCCUCAGAGACCUAAGCUCGGGCUCUCUGAGCUCCCUCUCCUCCCGAGGCCACCUGGGCAGCGAGUCAGGCUCUGCAACCCGAUACCUGCUGAGAAAGCAACGGCGUCUGCUGAAUGGGCCCCUCCGCGGAAUCCGAGCCUCAUCGCCCAUGGGCCGUGUCAUCCUCAUCAACUCCCCCAUCGAAGCCAACAGCGAUGAAAGUGACAUCAUCCAUGCAGUUCGAGUGGAGAAGAGCCCAGCUGGGAGGCUGGGGUUCAGUGUGCGGGGCGGCUCUGAGCACGGCCUGGGCAUCUUCGUCAGCAAAGUGGAGAAGGGGAGCAGUGCAGAGCGGGCUGGUCUGUGCGUGGGUGAUAAGAUCACUGAGGUGAAUGGGCUGAGCCUGGAGAGCACCACGAUGGGCAGUGCUGUGAAGGUGCUGACGGGCAGCAGCCGCCUGCAUAUGAUGGUGAGGCGCAUGGGCCGCGUACCAGGCAUCAAGUUCUCCAAAGAGAAGACCACAUGGGUGGAUGUGGUCAAUCGGCGGCUGGUGGUGGAAAAGUGCAGCUCAACGCCCUCUGACAGUGGCUCAGAGGACGGCGCACGGCGCAUCGUCCAUCUCUACACAACCUCUGACGACUUCUGCCUGGGCUUCAACAUCCGCGGGGGCAAGGAGUUUGGCCUGGGCAUCUAUGUGUCCAAAGUGGACCAUGGUGGACUGGCCGAGGAGAACGGCAUCAAGGUGGGGGACCAAGUCCUGGCGGCCAAUGGUGUCAGGUUCGACGACAUCAGCCACAGCCAAGCCGUGGAGGUGCUGAAGGGCCAAACACACAUCAUGUUGACCAUCAAGGAGACCGGCCGGUACCCUGCCUACAAGGAGAUGGUUUCUGAAUACUGUUGGCUGGAUCGAUUGAGCAACGGGGUGCUGCAGCAGCUGUCCCCCGCCUCGGAGAGCAGCUCCAGCGCCUCCUCGUUCGCCUCCAGUGCCCCCUACAGCUCGGCCGAUGGCUGGAGCUCCCUGCCCUCGGACCACAUGGAUGUCUGCCUGGGGCCUGAGGAGCCGGGCAGCUGGGGGCCAGGCCGGGGGCGGGCAGACACGGCCAUGCAGACGGAGCCAGACGCGGGGGGCCACGUGGAGACCUGGUGUAGCGUGCGGCCCACAGUCAUCCUCAGGGACACGGCCAUCCGUUCCGACGGCCCCCCGCCUGCCCCCCGCCUUGACUCUGCGCUCUCUGAGUCCCCCAAAACUGCUCUGCUCCUGGCCCUCAGCCAACCCCGGCCCCCCAUCACCCGCUCCCAGAGCCACCUGACCUUGUGGGAGGAGAAGAAACAGCGGAGGAAGGAGAAGUCGGGGUCCCCCGGGGAGAAGGGGGCCCUGCAGCGCUCCAAGACCCUGAUGAACCUCUUCUUCAAGGGAGGGCGGCAGGGGCGGCUGGCAGGGGAUGGGCGCAGAGAGACCUGGACGCUGGACAGUGGGAGCACGGCCAAGUCCCGCCCCCACCCGGACCUGGAGAAAGCAGGGGGAGUGGGAUCCGUGCAGAAGUUUGUCACCUGGAGGCUGAGACGUGACCGGGAGAGGGGCCGGACUCUGCUCUCUGCCAGGUCCAGGAGCCCCUCCAGCCAGCUGCCCAACAUGGAUGAGAGGGUGCAGACCUGGGAGAGCCGAAGGCCCCUGAUUCAGGACCUGGCCCGGAGGCUGCUGACUGACGACGAGGUGCUGGCUGUCACCCGCCACUGUUCCCGGUACGUGCAUGAGGGCGGCGUGGAGGACCUGGUGAGGCCCCUGCUGGCCAUUCUGGACAGGCCUGCGAAGCUGCUGCUGCUGAGGGACAUCAGGGGUGUGGUGGCCCCCACAGACCUGGGUCGCUUCGACAGCAUGGUGAUGCCUGUGGAGCUGGAGGCUUUUGAGGCCCUCAAGAGCCAGGCAGUUUGGCCUCCUGCCUUGCGACCAGCCCGGCAGGACACACCACCCAAGCGUCACCUCAUCACUCCUGUGCCUGACAGUCGUGGAGGCUUCUACCUACUUCCUGUGAACGGCUUCUCAGAGGAGGAAGAUGAUGGGGAGCUGAGGGAGCGUCUGGGGGGCCUCCAGGUCUCCCUGGGUGCCUCUGCCUCCCGCCACCCUCAUAAAGGGAUCCCCCCUCUCCAGGAUGUGCCAGUAGAUGCCUUCAUCUCACGCAGAAGCGCCUGCACACCCCCUCCCCAGCCACCCCCCGUGGCUCCCCGGCCCCCGAGGCCUAACUGGCUGCUGACAGAACCCUUGACCUUAGAGGGCCCUCGGCAGAGCCGGAGCCAGGGCCCAAGCCAGAGCCGCAGCCGCAGCCGGGGCAGAGGCAAGUCCCCCGGACGCAGGCGUUCCCCAUCCCCGACACCUAUCCCCACUCCCAGCACAGCCAGCGGGUGCUACCACAAGCCUCGGAAGGCCAGGCCUCCUCUGCCACGACCUACGGAUGGGCAGGUGGCCAAGGCAGGGGGCAGUCAAGGACCCUCUGAGAACAGAACUGGUGGGACAGCCGAGGAGGCCGCCACGAAAGUCCCCAGUGGGGAGCUGAGGACCGUCACACUAUCCAAGACGAAGCAGUCCUUGGGCAUCAGCAUUUCUGGGGGCAUUGAGUCCAAGGUGCAGCCCAUGGUGAAGAUAGAAAAGAUCUUCCCUGGGGGCGCCGCCUUCCUCAGUGGGGCCCUUCAGGCUGGCUUUGAGCUUGUGGCCGUGGAUGGAGAGAGCCUGGAGCAGGUGACCCACCAGCGGGCAGUAGACACCAUCCGCCGGGCUUAUCGAAACAAGGCUCGGGAGCCCAUGGAGCUUGUGGUCAGGGUCCCCAGGCCCGACCCACUGCCCUUACCCUCUGACUCAUCAGCCCUCACUGAACAGUGGCUUCCUGGUGACCAUUCCCCUGCCCGCUGACCCCUUGAUGGUACUCCAGCUACCUCCCACUGGCUCCCAGAACCUCCCAUCAAUGAAUGCCCUUCCCACCCAUACCCAGACCCCUCCCGCUGAUGCCAGGCUUCUCCAGCUGACCCCCAGCCCAGUGCCCGCUCCAGUCUUCCAGCCUCCUGAUACUAAUCCCGGACUCUCCCCGGCUACCCCAUAA